CAAUAGCGUAUAUUAAAGUUGUUGCGGUUAAAAAGUUCGUAGUUGGAUUUCUGCCAAGGACGACCGGUCCGCCCUCUGGGUGAGUAUCUGGCUUGGCCUCGGCAUCUUCUUGGAGAACGUUGCUGCACUUCACUGUGUGGCGCGGUAUCCAGGACCUUUACUUUGAGGAAAUUAGAGUGUUUCAAGCAGGCAUCCGCCUUGAAUACAUUAGCAUGGAAUAAUAAGAUAGGACCUCGGUUCUAUUUUGUUGGUUUCUAGAGCUGGGGUAAUGAUUAAUAGGGAUAGUUGGGGGCAUUCGUAUUUAACUGUCAGAGGUGAAAUUCUUGGAUUUGUUAAAGACGGACUACUGCGAAANCANNNGCCAAGGAUGUUUUCAUNGA
rnacentral:rRNA from 1 species